AGAAGAGUAAUCUGAUUCUAGAUCUGUGUUUAGGUUGGUAUCUAAUGGUUCAGGUUAGGAUUGUAGGAGGGUAAUCUGGUCCUAGGUUAGUAUCUAAUGGUUCAGGUUAGGAUUGUAGGAGGGUAAUCUGGUCCUAGAUCAGUGGUUAGGUUAGUAUCUAAUGGUUCAGGUUAGGAUUGUAGGAGGGUAAUCUGGUCCUAGAUCAGUGGUUAGGUUAGUAUCUAAUGG